CAUUAAACCACCCAUACUCAGGUCUGACACAUUCCAGAUAGUUCAUAUUCUAGAAGCAACACACCCCUUAGCUCUUACUAAUUAUUCACUUCAUAUGUUCUACUUUCUGCUGAGAUGAAGUCCUGCGGUGCCUUUGGAGCUGCCCAACUAGAGGUCAACAACCCUUUUCUUUAGUCCCACCUAGCUCCACGUUCCACAUUUGGUCAUUUCUGGUGACAUGAUCAGUGAUCCCCUCAACAUCUAGUUCUCCCCCAAAGUCAAGUGUCCAUCAAGUUAGUGUAGCAUAAUUCCUUUGGAAUCCCUGGCAGUGUUAAAUCUCUAACCAUCUCCAUGUAAAUCACUUCUCCAAGUAUAGUGGCUGCAAAGGCUGACUAAUAAAGCGAAAUUCUCCUGCUUAUAGGAAAUGGAAAUCACUGCCCCAGAACCAAUUGGUGACAAGUCUGGAUGCCUGAAGCAGAAAAAGAAACUAGCAGCUUGGAGCCACAUUCUGAGAUGCCAGCAUGACAAGAAAACUUCAAGUUAUGCUGUUAUCUGAAGAUAAAGGAGAAUCUUCCUGGUGUUUUCCUGUUGACCCAUCCUAGACCAAGAGUCCUGUCAGACUUACUUCACGUUUCACUCUUUGAAGUCAGAAUUUUGACCUUUUCUUCAAAUUGACUACUUGGUGUUGGGAGAAAAUAACUCAUUUUAGCACUCCUGUCCUUGACCAUGAAGAAUCACAUCAGGACUUCAAUAUCAUUCAAAAUCCUGAACUUAGAACAGACUCAAUAUCUAGAUGAAUUUUGGGUUGUCUCUCUUAAGAACAAGCGUGUGUUCAACAUGUGAAAAGAAGAGUAAAGUGAACACUUGAUGGAUAAAAAGACUAAUUUGGAAGAGAACAUGUAUCUUCAUGAAGUCUUAAUUUCCCUGGACUCAUUGUUGACUUGUAUACCCAUUCACAGUUGCACUUAGUUGAGUCCAUGGGGUUGAAUUCCAACUAAUGGAGUGUAGGCAGAAGUAAGAACCCCACUGUCAAGUCUGCAGGGAUCGAUUGUGAGGAGCUGAGGCAGAACUCAGUUGCCUGAAUCUUUGAAGCAAAGACUCUCAGUUACACUAACCAGUACUGAACUUUGAAUAAUCAAGAACAAUAUUAUAUGAUAUAGGAGAUGGCAUGUCAUGGCAGGACAUGACAGUUUGAUGCACAGUAUAAAAGUAAGUCAUGGAGAUUUGAUGAUUCUUGGUCAGUGCAGAUAGUGCUAAUUUUUCUGAGCAACCCAGAAGAGAGACAUCUCUGAGGACAUGGUAGUUUUAGAGGAGAAAAAUUCCAUGUAAAUACCUGUGAACCAAGCAAUCAGGCAGAAAGAACAACACAUGCAAAAACUGUAGUCUGGGAGCAUGUGUUUAAGAGUCAGAAAGAAAGGAGUACAAUUCAUUUCUAGUGAAGGAGGAGGAAGAAGACAGGAACUGAAGGUUGAAGAGAGCAGUAGAGAUCAGACUGUACCGGCACUAGUGUAGAGUAGAGGUCGUGGUGGAGAGUUUAAAUUUCACUCUAAUUGGGAUGGGAAAUCAUUGGGAAAUUUGAAACACAUAAAAGACAUGGCCUUAUUAUGACAUAUGCUUUUAAACCAUAAUUUGGACCACUCUUUAUAAUGCUCAAGAAGAGAAGCAGAGAGACAAGUAAGGAAAUAGUGGCAACCUUCCAGGCAAACCAGUUUUGGUGGAAGGGGAGAAUAUGGGUGCAUUUCACUGAGUCAUUUAGUGAGUAAGUCUAGGGAAACCUAUGGAUCACACAUUCAUUUAAUUUUCAUCGAAAUACAUAGUGUAAAUAAUACAUCAGCCAACUGUAGGAGUCGUGAUUUCUUUUAAAUGUUUGCAGUGCAUGCAGGUAGAGUGCAGCACGCGCUGAUUUUCAGCUUUCUAGAUACCUUGCUGUGCCAUUAGUGAUUCAAAUUCUUCCCAGUAACAGCGACUACAACAAGCUGAUGGUUUCCCCAGUGACCACCAGCUGGCGCCAGUAGACAACACUCCCUGGAAAGGGAACACAAACAGGAGGAAGUCAGUGCAGGUGAACAGACCUAAUAAAUCUCACCCGAGAUCUGACAUGUAGAAAUCCUGUGCUGUCCUUUGCUGGGAAUGGAAAGCAGCCCCAGCAACUUGACACAAAAUAAACAGGUUCACAGCCUAAGAGGCUUGUCUGUAGGGUGCUUCAGACCUGGAAUGAAAUAAGAUCUUCCUGAAAUGGGAGAAACCACAUUUUAGGAUGCAGAGUAGUGAUGUGUAUGGGUGAGAAGUAUGUACUCUUACCUUUGAGCUUCAGCCAGACAGUGAGGAGACUCAGUUCCUUCUUUUUCAUGAGGUAGAGUGAAGGGUAUAAGUAAGGGCUUGCUGUAAACCAUCCACGUGACUUGAAAAAUCUUUUGUGAGGUGUUAUUUUGCACAUAUUCCUUGUGCUAUUCAUGUGGUACUUGUCGAGUUGUAAAACAAUUUUUGAAUAUUCUGGGUGCAAUUUAUUUGUCAGAUAUGUGAAGUACAUCUAUUCAUAAAGAACAGACAUUGAUGGAACGGAACAGAGAACUCAGAAAUACUGUAACUCAAGAAAUACUAUCAUAAAUAUAUUCAGUUGAUUUUUCACAAAGGUCCAAUUUAUUUCUGUGUUGAAAAGAUUAUUCUUUCUCCACAGACAAAAAGUGAACUUUUACACUGACCUUACCCGAAAGUUAACUCGGAAUAUACCACAGAAUUAACUAUAAAAUGCCAAAUGGUACAGCUUUUUAGAAAAAAAAAAUUUCAUGUCCUUAUUCAUAGCUACUUAGAAGUAACAAAAUGCAUAAUUUGUGAAAAACUGAUGAAUUUUGUUUUAUUAAAAUCUGUCUCUGCUGAUGGAAAGACGAAUAAUCAAUCACAGCCCCGGGGCGUACAUUUGUACCUCAUAUUGGCUCAAGCUGAAUCCACUCUCAGUAAGUGACAGCAGAGAACUCUCAUUGGGAGACUGAUUGGCAAUUAGCCUUCACCUCUUAAACAGAAAAGGGCAGAUAGAACUUUCAGAAUCUGUAAGAAGUAGAGGAACAGUCUAGUGGAUAGAUAGAUAGAUAGAUAGAUAGA